UUUCCUUUUUCAAAUGUUUUAGGAAAUAUUUUUACUUUUAAAAUUUAAGAAAACAUUAAUUCUUGUAUUUUUUGUUUAUAAUUUUGUAAUCUUUAAGUCCAUGUUAUGUGCUUGUUUGGCCUCUAAAUGUGGUGUCUAUUUUUGUAGAUUGUAUUGACUAGUUUUGUUUCCAAUGACCAGCAAUCCAAGUCUAUUAUAGUUAUCUCAUCUCUUAUCCCCUCCCUUUGU
rnacentral:lncRNA from 1 species